rnacentral:ncRNA from 1 species
CACGGCAACGCAACUGCACGCGGAGACGACGGCGGGGGGCCCAGGCAGAGUUCUCUUUUCUUCUUAACGGUCUAUCACCCUGAAAACAGUCUGUCUGGAGAUAGGUUUCAAUGGCCGGAAGAGCCCGACACUUCUGUCGUGUCCGGUGCGCUCUCGACGUCCCUGGAAAAUCCGCGGGAGGAAA